rnacentral:lncRNA from 1 species
GGGGUUCGAUGCGGUGGAAGAGGAAGGCGACUGAUCUGGUGAUUGUGGGAGGCGGCGUGAGGUCUGGAACGACGCGAGAAGGAGGAAGGCGGAUGUGGUAUUCCUCGGCGCUGCUUCGCCGGAGGAAGGCAGCGGUGGUCCUUUGGCAGCGGUCUACCGGCCGACUUGGAGAAGGGGGAGGGAAAAUAAUGAAUUUUUUUAUUUUUUUGUUUAUUGUUUUUCCAAGUACGUGCCACAUCAACUCGG